CUGGCCAACAUGGUGAAACCCCGUCUCUACUAAAAAUACAAAAAUUAGCUGGGCGCGGUGGCACGCGCCUGUAGUCCCUGCUACUUGGGAGGCUGACGCAGGAGAAUUGCUUGAACCUGGGAGGCAGAGGUUGCAGUGAGCCGAGAUCACGCCACUGCACUCCAGCCUGGAGACAGAGUGAGACUCCGUCAAAAAAAAAAAAAAAAAAAAAAAAAAAAGGAACCGGGCUACAAUCACAAGUGUCAGCGGGAUGUGACUAACCUAAAACCCCACACAGCACUUUGGGAGGCCGAGGAGGGUGGAUCACCUGAGGUCAGGAGUUCGAGACCAGCCUGGCCAACAUGGUGAAACCCCAUCUCUACUAAAAAUACAAAAAUUAGCCCAGCAUGGUGGCACAUGCUUGUAAUCCCAGCUACUUGGGAGGCUGAGGCAGGAGAAUUGCUUGAACCUGGGAGGCAGAGGUUGCAGUGAACUGAGAUCACGCCACUGCACUCCAGCCCGGGCAACAGAGUGAGACUCUGUCUCAAAAAUAAAUAAAUAAAUCCCUACACAAUGCUCUCACUUUAGAAAACAUUAAGCCUUUAUUUCCUUGUUUUGUAAAUAAAGCUGGCUGAGUUGGUUGUUUUUUGAUGAUUAGUCAAAGAGACCAAAUCCCAUAUCCUCACCCAGCUCCUCCACCUCUUCCUUGGCUUCAACCUUAGCUGGGGCUGCAGCAGCGGGAGCAGCCGUGGUGGCAACAGCCACAGAGGCAAUAGCCACAAAUGCAGAUGGAUCAGCCAAGAAGGCCUUGACCUUUCCAGCAAGUGGGAAGGUAUAAUCAGUCUCCACAGAGCCAGGGCUCAUUUGUACCCACUGAUGAUAGAAUGGGGUACUGAUGCAACAGGUGGGUAGCCAGUCUGCAGACAGACACUGGCAACAUCGCGGACAACCUUCAGGAAGCAAGAAGGAAGUUUCCUCUGUGAUGUCAAGCACUUCAGGGUUGUAGAUGCUGCCAUUGUCAGAUGCCUGCUGGAUGACCAGCGCAAAGGAGGAGGGAGAAAUGCUCGGCGUGUUCAGCAGCGUGGCUUUGUUGGCUCCCACUUUGUCUCCAGUCUUGAUCAGCUGCACAUCACUCAGGAUUUCAAUGGUGCCCCUGGAGAUUUUAGUGGUGAUUCCUAAAGCCUGGAAAAAGGAGGUUUUCUCUGGCCCCAGACCAGUGUUCUGGGCUGGCACAGUGACUUCACAUGGGGCAAUGGGACCAGCACAGGUGGCAGCUGGCACCUUACUAGCCAGCAACAUGUCCUUGAUUUCAGUGAGGUCCUCCUUGGUGAAUGCAAAGCCCACAUUCCCCCAGAUAUGAGGCAGCAGUUUCUCCAGAGCUGGGUUGUUUUCCAGGUGCCCUCAGAUGGCCGUGAGCAUCAUGGUGUUCUUGUCCAUCAGCACCACGGCCUUCUCUCAGAGGGACAUGCAGAUCUGCUGCGUCUGCUUGGAGCCCACAUUGCUGCUCCCACGAUGAAACAUUUUGGAUAAUCAUCCAAAAGCUGGAUGAUCUUGAAGUAGUUGGACUUCCAGGUCAUCCUGUCUUCCCUGGGCAUCACGGCAGUGCAUCAGGGAUUGCCACGCAGGGUUUAAAGACAAUGUCACUUUCACGAGGAUGCC
rnacentral:lncRNA from 1 species